GGGUUGUGAGGUUAAGCGACUAAGCGUACACGGUGGAUGCCCUGGCAGUCAGAGGCGAUGAAGGACGUGCUAAUCUGCGAUAAGCGUCGGUAAGGUGAUAUGAACCGUUAUAACCGGCGAUUUCCGAAUGGGGAAACCCAGUGUGUUUCGACACACUAUCAUUAACUGAAUCCAUAGGUUAAUGAGGCGAACCGGGGGAACUGAAACAUCUAAGUACCCCGAGGAAAAGAAAUCAACCGAGAUUCCCCCAGUAGCGGCGAGCGAACGGGGAGCAGCCCAGAGCCUGAAUCAGUGUGUGUGUUAGUGGAAGCGUCUGGAAAGGCGCGCGAUACAGGGUGACAGCCCCGUACACAAAAAUGCACAUACUGUGAGCUCGAUGAGUAGGGCGGGACACGUGGUAUCCUGUCUGAAUAUGGGGGGACCAUCCUCCAAGGCUAAAUACUCCUGACUGACCGAUAGUGAACCAGUACCGUGAGGGAAAGGCGAAAAGAACCCCGGCGAGGGGAGUGAAAAAGAACCUGAAACCGUGUACGUACAAGCAGUGGGAGCACGCUUCGGCGUGUGACUGCGUACCUUUUGUAUAAUGGGUCAGCGACUUAUAUUCUGUAGCAAGGUUAACCGAAUAGGGGAGCCGAAGGGAAACCGAGUCUUAACUGGGCGUUAAGUUGCAGGGUAUAGACCCGAAACCCGGUGAUCUAGCCAUGGGCAGGUUGAAGGUUGGGUAACACUAACUGGAGGACCGAACCGACUAAUGUUGAAAAAUUAGCGGAUGACUUGUGGCUGGGGGUGAAAGGCCAAUCAAACCGGGAGAUAGCUGGUUCUCCCCGAAAGCUAUUUAGGUAGCGCCUCGUGAAUUCAUCU
rnacentral:rRNA from 1 species